CUUGUGGUUAAUGAUGUAAAUUCUUUCCCCGACUUAUCGACUAUGGUGAUACAAUUAAGCAAUUUAAGCCAAUUAUAUCUGAAACCACAAU
ensembl:snoRNA